AUCUAAGCGUGAAGCCCCCCUCAAGAUGAGAUUUCCCAGUAUGUAAGACCCCUUGAAGACGACGAGGUAGAUAGGUUGGGGGUGGAAGUGCAGUAAUGCAUGGAGCUGACCAAUACUAAUCGGUCGAGGGCUUAUCCUAAA
rnacentral:rRNA from 1 species